rnacentral:rRNA from 1 species
CAUCCGGUUACGACCUCAGGUCAGGCGAGACAACCCGCUGAAUUUAAGCAUAUUACUAAGCGGAGGAAAAGAAACUAAC